CCCAGUUUCAGCUGAGCAUGCAAAGCUUCCUCUAUAUGGAAAUGACCUGUUUCCACUCAUCAGACGGGGGGUGAGAGUGACUGCAGACAUUCUGGGAGGACCGCUGUAUCUCUUCUACAUUCACACUUUUGGAAUACAAAUUCAGUUUUUCUGGAAACUAUUGGAAUUUAAAAUGUGUUAUAUUUCUCUGGUUAAAUUGAUCUGGUGGGAGUGGUGCAGCCCACGCUGAGCGUCCUCCCUCCCUCCAGAGUGGAGCUGGAGCAGGGCAGUGCUACACUGCUGUGUGUGGCCAGUGGGGGCUUCCCCUCAGACUGGAAGCUUGGCUGGAAGGUGGGGGGCAGCAGCAGGUCUGGGGGGGUGUCCGAUAGCCUGGGGGUCCUGGGGAAAGAUGGCCAUUACAGCUGGACCAGCACCAUGACCCUCCCUGCAGACCAGUGGAGGAAGGCGGGCUCAGUGAGCUGUGAGGCCAGUAAGAAUGGCCAGACGCAGCCUGUCACUCAAACCCUGAAUCCUGGAGAGUGUUCAGAGUAGAGAGGCUCCAGCAUGGAAGUACUGGAGAACACAGAUCUCCUCUGACACGUCUGCUUUAUGUCUCUCUGUCUGAGGUGGCAAUGCAGCUUUUGGAUGAAUUACAUUAAUAUAAAUUGUGUUUGAUUCAUUAACAUUAUGCUCUCUGGUUUGUACCCCUUGCUUUGUCACAUGUUGAACAUGUAAUAAAGACGUAAAUAAUAAAUUCUUUCUUGUCAUCA